GUCCCUGGGGCCCCAGGCGCGGGCCCGACUAGGGCCGCACGGUCCCCGGGGGACUGAGCGCUGAGAAGGUGCGCGGGGCUCCAGACCGCUUCCGCUGGAAGGAGGUUUUCUUUCCGGCCGACCGGCCGGCCGGGCGCUGGCCCGCCUCCCUCCGCCCCUCUGAGGCUCCCUGUGGGGCGAGGCCGCUCGACUGGCUGCCCUAGGCCAGCUGAAGCCGGCAGGGCCGGGAGGGCCCUAGUGGGGUGGGAGCGCGCCGCGGGGCGGCUCCGCUAAUUCCUGUAGGAUGGAGCCUCCGCAGGUUCGCGUCAAGUGCAACGCUUUCACUCCCUGACCCUGGACAAUUCUAGAGCUUGAGGAAAUCACUUUCCACCUCCGCGGCGAGACCACAAGUCUUAUUUUCCCAUCGCUUGUCUUCACCAGAUUUUUUCUAGCUUUUUCUUUUCUGGCCUUCCUUGGGCCUUUGAAAAUCUUACAGUUCUAGGUUUGAGCCAAGAACUCUCAAUCAUCUUGAUAAUCCCAGAUUAGAUGCCUAAAGCUGAAAAAAAAAAAUGCAGAACGUUCAGG